rnacentral:lncRNA from 1 species
GGGGUAGACACUGUUAUUUCCAUUCACAGAUAAGCAAAGUGAGGCUCGGAGGGCGGGGACUUGCCCAAAGCCACAAGGAUGAAAGGACUUUUCCAGUUGCUACCAGACUACGCACUGUCGCCUGAUGGUUAAGAACUGAAGCUUUAGCCGUGCGCGGUGGCUCACGCCUGUAAUCCCAGCACUUUAGGAGGCAGAGGCGUGUGGAUCACCUGAGGUCAGGAGUUCGAGACCAGCUUGACCAACAAGCUGGCGUAUCCGAAUGGGCUGAGCUACCGGAUUAAGAGGGACACCCCAAAGCCCCCAUUGCUGGGUUAUUGCUCCAGAGCCAAUGUCCUUGGGGAAAGGAAGAUAUGCCCUUUGUCUACACUGCCGCUGCUGGUCUGUAAACUCCUAGACGGCCAGCUGGUGGUUCACAAACCAGGACUCCUUGCUCUGGCGCUACUCCUACCUACCAGAAUGACCGUGAACCCUUCCCCACUCACUCCUACAACCAGGUUUCCAUCUCCUCUCUCAGCUUAGGUUUCCCUAACUGUAAAAGAAAAGGGUUGGACUAGGUUAAGAACUUCCUGCUAUUUCUCUCUCCCACACUCUAAGGUUCCUUAGGAAUGCUUCAGAAAACAGCAGGGGUUGGGGCAAGGAUGCCACUUGAGUCCCAGAGCAACUCCAAUUUCAUAGGUACAUAAAUUUAUGUGAAAGUAUAUA